rnacentral:sRNA from 12 species
CCCUGACAGUCGCAUUGGGCGUCUGACAUUUGCCAAGACAGGAGACUUAAAUG